GAUGAAGAACGCAGCGAAAUGCGAUAAGUAAUGUGAAUUGCAGAAUUCAGUGAAUCAUCGAAUCUUUGAACGCACAUUGCGCCCGCCAGUAUUCUGGCGGGCAUGCCUGUCUGAGCGUCAUUUCAACCCUCAUGCCCCUAGGGCGUGGUGUUGGGGAUCGGCCAAAGCCCGCGAGGGACGGCCGGCCCCUAAAUCUAGUGGCGGACCCGUCGUGGCCUCCUCUGCGAAGUAGUGAUAUUCCGCAUCGGAGAGCGAUGAGCCCCUGCCGUUAAACCCCCAACUUUCCAAGGUUGACCUCAGAUCAGGUAGGAAUACCCGCUGAAAUUAAGCAUAUCAAUAAGCGGAGGA
rnacentral:misc_RNA from 1 species